UACGUAGGGAGCGAGCGUUUUCCGGAAUCAUUGGGCGGAAAGAGCUUGUCGGUGGAUCAAUUAGUCUGCUGUGAAAGUCAAAGGCUCAACCUUUGAAAGCCGGUGGAUACUGUUGGUCUAGAGUACGGAAGAGGCGAGUGGAAUUCCGGGUGUAGCGGUGGAAUGCGUAGAGAUCCGGAAGAACACCAGUGGCGAAGGCGGCCCGCUGGGCAGUGGCUGACGCUGAGGCGCGACAGCGUGGGGAGCAAACAGG
rnacentral:rRNA from 1 species